rnacentral:rRNA from 1 species
GACGAACGCUGGCGGCGUGCCUAAUACAUGCAAGUAGAACGCUGAAGAGAGGAGCUUGCUCUUCUUGGAUGAGUUGCGAACGGGUGAGUAACGCGUAGGUAACCUGCCUUGUAGCGGGGGAUAACUAUUGGAAACGAUAGCUAAUACCGCAUAACAAUGGAUGACACAUGUCAUUUAUUUGAAAGGGGCAAUUGCUCCACUACAAGAUGGACCUGCGUUGUAUUAGCUAGUAGGUGAGGUAAUGGCUCACCUAGGCGACGAUACAUAGCCGACCUGAGAGGGUGAUCGGCCCCCCUGGGACUGAGACACGGCCCAGACUCCUACGGGAGGCAGCAGUAGGGAAUCUUCGGCAAUGGGGGCAACCCUGACCGAGCAACGCCGCGUGAGUGAAGAAGGUUUUCGGAUCGUAAAGCUCUGUUGUAAGUCAAGAACGGGUGUGAGAGUGGAAAGUUCACACUGUGACGGUAGCUUACCAGAAAGGGACGGCUAACUACGUG